UCACCUAAUUUCUGUAGGUAUGCGCGGGUCGCAUAAAACAGUAAGGCGGACCUCAUGUGGCCUGUGGGACGUAAUUUGCACACCUCUGAUCUAGUAAAUCCGAUCCAUGUCUCUUAUCUAUGAGUAUAUAAUCUAUUUGAUUCUGGGUGUUCCAUAGAGUGAGAUCCAGGUUACCUUGUGAAUACUCUCAUGUUAAAAUUUAGUGUUGCAGAUAGACAUUCCUUUUCCUGAUGCAAAAUUCACUAAUCUUAUGCCAUUAUUGUUUGACUAUUCAUGUAAGCUUUCUUUGCCAAUUGUUGGUCUGAAUGCUGGUUCUUUUCCAAUUUUUGCAUUAAAAUCUCCUAGGACUAUUUUGAUGUCAUGCUUUGGUGCUUCAUCAUAAAUUCUUUCCAGUCCAUCAUAGAAGGCUUCUUUUCUGUUAUCAUCUGCAUUUUCUUUAGGGGUAUGGACAUUGAUGAAUAAUGUGUUGAAGAAUUUUCCUCUCAAACGUAGUGAGCAGAGUCUAUCACUUACAGGUUUAAAUCCAAUGACAUUACCUGCCAUUUUCUUUUUACAGUAAAACCUGUACCUAAGUUAAUGCUUCCACCACUAUAAAAUAUAGUAUACUCCUUGGUUCUGAGAAUGUCUUUCCACCUGGUUUCCUGUAUGGCUACAAGAGGUAUCCUUUAUUUCUUUAACACUUCAGUAAGUUGGGCUAGCGCACCUGCUCUAUAAAGGCUUUGCACGUUCCAUGUUGCAAAACAAAAAUCAUGUCUUUUCCAGGCCAAGGCUGUUUUCCUUUGAGAUCUGUCCAGGUUUUCUUGUGAGUAGAAGCUUUCAGGACAGUAUUUGUUUUUUAUAUGACAAAGUAGUUAGCCCUGCGCACAACCUUCUGGGGGACUGCCCCUUUCAUCUCUCUGGAUAGCUGCCUUUAUUUUCAGAAUAGAGAUGUAAUUCUGCUGUGUCCCCGUGAGUUGGAAACCAGUAAGCAAGUCUUCUAAUAGAGGUCUGAUAGAGUCAUGUACAUCAAGCGAUCAGCACUAAAAGAUGUGGACCUGAUGUGGUGUCAAGCUGAUGAAGCUUUUGCUUUCUUCUUUUGGCUGUUCGUUUAACACAAGACAAAGCACAGACUGAUCGUCAUACCAUUUUAAGAUCCUGGGAUGUGAAAGACUUUGCACCGGACUGUCGUCAGUAUCUUUACCUCUUCCAUGCCGGCAAUAAAAUACAUCUGAAACUUGUUGCUCUUGGAAAUCCUAUGCCGAACUGGGAGUCGAACACUUAGUGAGGUUGUGACUGAACGUCGCAUGAGGUUUGCGGGACAUGUUCUACGUCAAAAUGAAUUACGCACACCAAGAGUUGCGAUAACAUGGAAGCCAAAACAAGGAAAGCGCAAACAGGGACGUCCUCGUAUUACCUGGCGACACACCUUCAUGGAGGACCUCAGAACAGUGGACACCAGGUGGGAGGAGGCUUCAGACAUUACCAGUGACAGAUCAUUAUGGAGACAGCUUGCCGCCCAAUGCGCCGAACGGCGCCGGAGGACCUAUGUCUAAAAUGUUGAGUCAGAUAUUGAAGCCAGAGCUUUGUAUCUAAGUCAAAGACCACUAGUAUUUGACAGUGUUUACAGAGGACAAGAUGUCCCAGCUCAGUCCAAAAUUCAUAAAGACUGUGUCUCAGCGAAGCAUAAGAGUUGGUCUUGGAUUCAAACAGUCAAUGAAUGUUUAGGCAUUCAUAGUGAAAAUACUGCUAACUAUCAUCAGUUCUACCAUGAUGUUUGCCACCUGGAAGAAGACAUGCUUUCAUUCUUGCUUUGGAUGGACAGUUCAACAGCUAGAGCUCAAGUCAAGACUCAUGAUCCUGAUGUCAUGUUAAAACAUUUCAGAUUAAUAAACAUAUGUUGGACUAUCAGGGCUAGUUAGAUCUUCUCACAGAGCGAAGUUGAGAUAUUCACCCAGUUCAUCACCGCCAAGAACUGCCAGAAUGGCAUUUGAAGGCUAGAGCUCUUGUCCAAUAUCAGCACAAACAUGUGUCAUUAGCAAAAGGGGACUUUGUCAAGAUUUUGGAAAAUUCUGAUGCUGAAAGAUGGAAAUAUGGAAUAGAAAGUGAAGUCCCUGGUAUUGUGUUGGUCAUUCCUUCCUGCUUCCAACAGAUUGAUAAAUUAAGAGAACAAAUCAAGGUCAAUAGUUCUAUUGCUGCUAAAAGAUUAAGGUCACAUUUGAUCCAGUUUUUAAGUGCUGCUAUUUCCCAGACACAGUCCAAAGAUAUGGUGAAUGAGGCAGCAGACAUCUUGAAAGGAGCUGAUUUCAAGUUCCUUCAACAGUCUUUUCAUUUUAUUUAGGAAGAAGCUCAUCAGUCACUUCAAACCAGGUGAUGAUGGAGUCAUAAACAGUAGGAUACAGAGGUGAAACAAAACUGGAGCUUUAGUUUGUUUGUUUGUAGAACUUGGCAUCUACUCCAGACAUUAUUCUGAAGAACACUCAAGUAAAAGAAAAGAAGAAAUGUUAAAGGUUAAGGACUUGAGCUCCAAUCAUACUUACACUUCAAAAGCUUUAAUUUGAAAGGUCUUAUAUUUUUGUGGAAAUAAAUUUUACUAGUGGAGUUUUUGUAGCUGCCAGAGUGGAUCAAGGUGGAUGUGAUAUCUAUUUAUAAACAUGUAUACCAGUAUAUUGUAAUCAGUGAUUUUCAUUUUUUGGUAACAGUUUGUUUCCAUUUAGAUUGCAGUCUUUCUUAUGUGAAAACAAGAUGUCUGCAUAAUCUUAGAGGACAUUUUUAAACUCAUUUAAAUUUAUUAGAUGAAAUAUUUAUAAAACAUACAAUGUAAAUUGUUUUGUAAAAUGAUUAUACAUUUGAGUUCAUAAAAAUGUGUAAUUUUUUAAUGGCAUCAUGUUUCUGCUUAUCUGUAUCUGAUACUGAUGAUGUGUUUUCUAAAUCUAUUACUGCUUCACCAUUGAGGAAAAACUGCACAUGUUUAAACCCAUAUCUGAAGUAACUUUCCAGAAAAAAAAAAGAUGUAUGUUGGACAGUGUCCAAAAUUUCAAAUCAUUUCCUUCAAAAUGUUAUCAAUUUCCUCCAUAACUUCAUAACAUUAUUGAAUUUUUUCCUUCAGAACACAAUUGUAAAUUAUCUUUCUUUUUUUUUUUUUUUUUGUUAAACCACAAUGAGAGUCUAAUAACUAAUAGUCUAGCAAACAAUUACUUAUAAUUUGCCUUAUUAUUAUACAAUAUUAAGAUUUACUUCUGCAGGGAUGAAAAACUUUUUUUAAAAUACAAUAGACAUGUAUAAUAAUAAAGUACAUUCACACCUGACUCACUCAUAAUUUACAUGUGAAAAGUUUAUAUCAGAUUGUUUCUAUUUAAUGAUUUGAUUGCCAUCAGUGUCUUGUAUCUCUUUUGUGAUGGUAAAGUCACAAAAUGUAGGAAACCCCACUGUGUUUGGUCCAGUAUGUGGGUUAUUAUAUGUAAGUCUAUUGUAUUUUCUAUAUUAUUUUACAAAUGUAAAAAAAAUAAAAAGAAAUUGUUACACUGUU